GGGACACGUGGUAUCCUGUCUGAAUAUGGGGGGACCAUCCUCCAAGGCUAAAUACUCCUGACUGACCGAUAGUGAACCAGUACCGUGAGGGAAAGGCGAAAAGAACCCCGGCGAGGGGAGUGAAAAAGAACCUGAAACCGUGUACGUACAAGCAGUGGGAGCCUCUUUAUGGGGUGACUGCGUACCUUUUGUAUAAUGGGUCAGCGACUUAUAUUCUGUAGCAAGGUUAACCGAAUAGGGGAGCCGAAGGGAAACCGAGUCUUAACUGGGCGUUAAGUUGCAGGGUAUAGACCCGAAACCCGGUGAUCUAGCCAUGGGCAGGUUGAAGGUUGGGUAACACUAACUGGAGGACCGAACCGACUAAUGUUGAAAAAUUAGCGGAUGACUUGUGGCUGGGGGUGAAAGGCCAAUCAAACCGGGAGAUAGCUGGUUCUCCCCGAAAGCUAUUUAGGUAGCGCCUCGUGAAUUCAUCUCCGGGGGUAGAGCACUGUUUCGGCAAGGGGGUCAUCCCGACUUACCAACCCGAUGCAAACUGCGAAUACCGGAGAAUGUUAUCACGGGAGACACACGGCGGGUGCUAACGUCCGUCGUGAAGAGGGAAACAACCCAGACCGCCAGCUAAGGUCCCAAAGUCAUGGUUAAGUGGGAAACGAUGUGGGAAGGCCCAGACAGCCAGGAUGUUGGCUUAGAAGCAGCCAUCAUUUAAAGAAAGCGUAAUAGCUCACUGGUCGAGUCGGCCUGCGCGGAAGAUGUAACGGGGCUAAACCAUGCACCGAAGCUGCGGCAGCGACGCUUAUGCGUUGUUGGGUAGGGGAGCGUUCUGUAAGCCUGUGAAGGUGUGCUGUGAGGCAUGCUGGAGGUAUCAGAAGUGCGAAUGCUGACAUAAGUAACGAUAAAGCGGGUGAAAAGCCCGCUCGCCGGAAGACCAAGGGU
rnacentral:rRNA from 1 species